UACGGAGGGUGCGAGCGUUAUCCGGAUUCACUGGGUUUAAAGGGUGCGUAGGUGGGCAGGUAAGUCAGCGGUGAAAUCUCCGGGCUUAACCCGGAAACUGCCAUUGAUACUAUCAGUCUUGAAUACCGUGGAGGUAAGCGGAAUAUGUCAUGUAGCGGUGAAAUGCUUAGAUAUGACAUAGAACACCAAUUGCGAAGGCAGCUUACUACCCGAAUAUUGACACUGAGGCACGAAAGCGUGGGGAUCAAACAGG
rnacentral:rRNA from 1 species